rnacentral:lncRNA from 1 species
AAGGGUUACUUUGGCAUGGUUGUUCAGAUAUGGAGAAGAUGAAUACUUUAAAUCUAUGAUAACCUUCUUUAAAUGAUCUUAAAAACAACAAUUUCCCAUUUUAUAGCAAUGUAGCAUGUGUGAUUUGGAAGCCAUUUCAGAAGGAAUGUAAAAAUUCAAAACCAUCAUGCUAUUGCAGUGGAAAAGUAAUUUUAAAAAUUCCUCACUAUUCUACAAAGAAGACAUUAAGUCUAAGUGUUUUCAUUUUACAAGAGCACAAUUGAGGUGCUAUCAAUUGUAACUACUGCAAUUAGCAUUUCCCUUUGCAUCCUUAUGGAUUGUUCAUGAUAUUCUGACAAGAAAAAUAAACUUUGGACAUGAUUUCUUGAAACUUGUGGAAGCAUACUUAACUCUUCUCAUUCAAACUCUCUUCUAUUUUUCUAUUGAAUAUUCUUUAUUUUGUUUUUGGAUAUGCAAUUGACCUUUGUUCAAGUUCAAUGUACAAUUGCUUUAGGUAAAUCUGGUUUCAUUGUAAAUAUAUAUUAAUAAGGGGGAAAUCUGGUUUCUGUUAAAUUCCUUUUCAUUGUAAAUCUGGUUUCAUUGGAUUAUGAAUGGUAUUUAGUUCAGUGGGUUUGCUUAAUGUUGGAAGAGAGCAUUUCUGAUGCACAAAGAAGGAAAGUUUAAGUUAUUUACUUUGAAAAAACGUUUCUUUCAAUUAAUUCAAUUUGAGAAAGGUUCUGUGUCUGUCUCUCUCUCUGCCAUCUUUUGUCCUCACCACUAUCUGACACACUGCUCCCCUCUAUAUGGCGUAAACUCGAUAGCUGAUAGUGCAAGCAAAGCAAGCCAAAGCAAGCACCCCACUUUUUUUUUUUGAGUCUCUACUCUGAAUCUCCCUCUCUAAAUACUCAACUCUGCAUUCCUCUUUGUCUGUUAAAAUCUGCUUUUUUUGACCUCUUCUUUUUGUCCUCCCACACCACCUCUAUAAGCACCUCC